UUUUAUUGGAUCACAUGACCGUCAGGUUCUGGAGAUGAUCUACAGUUGGCUUCUCUCUUUCCAAUAAGCUCUAAAUCAACAUUUAGAUUUCUCUGUGCUGGAUUUGGCUGAUUAGUAACAGAGUAAAGCCAUUCUGAGGUCAAUUUCAGCCCACACAUAGAAUGCAUUUCGUGAGUUUCCCCACACUCCAGAGAGUAAAGAGGAAUGAAUUCUUUGAACAAGCUGGAAAGUAUAUUUUAGGUGCUGUUAUUGCUGCAUGCAUUUUUUGGGGCUUGGUGUAUGCUUUACUCAGGUGGCUCUGGAGAUGGAAGUGUGAAAAAGAAAAAAAAGGAAGGAUGGAAGCUGAGGAAGCUGAGUACUAGCAGUUUAUGGUUUCUUUUAAAAAACCCUCCACUUUUCCCUUAAAUUAUAAUGAACUAAAGCUAGCAACUUA